rnacentral:rRNA from 1 species
AAACAUUGAUAGCUUUAAUACAUUUGCUAUUCGCCCGGGUACUACGAGCAUCAGCUUAAAACCCAAAGGACUUGGCGGUGCUUAGACCCCCCUAGAGGAGCCUGUCUAGAACCGAUAACCCCCGUUGAACCUCACCCUCUCUUGUUCAUUCCGUCUAUAUACCGCCGUCGUCAGCUUACCCCGUGAGGGUUUAACAGUAAGCAAGAUAGCAAACCUCAAAACGUCAGGUCGAGGUGUAGCGAAUGGGAGGGGAAGAAAUGGGCUACAUUCCUUAAUGUAAGGAAAACGAAUAAUGCAAUGAAACGUGCAUUGGAAGGAGGAUUUAGCAGUAAGCAGAAAAUAGAGCGUUCU